rnacentral:rRNA from 1 species
AGCAGCCGCGGUAAUUCCAGCUCCAAUAGCGUAUAUUAAAGUUGUUGCAGUUAAAAGCUCGUAGUUGAAUUUCGGGAUUAGUACGCUGGUCGUGCUUUCGGUACGUACUGGUGUUACUGAUUCCUACCUUCUGACGAACCGUUAUGUCAUUAAUUUGAUGUGGCGGGGAAUCAGGACUGUUACUUUGAAAAAUUGAGUGUUUAAAGCAGGCUCGCGCUUGAAUACAUUAGCAUGGAAUAAUGAAAUAGGACGUUCGACCCUAUUUUGUUGGUUUCUAGGAUUGACGUAAUGAUUAAUAGGGAUAGUUGGGGGCAUUAGUAUUCAAUUGUCAGAGGUGAAGUUCUUGGAUUUAUGAAGACUAACUACUGCGAAAGCAUUUGCCAAGGAUGUUUUCAUUAAUCAAGAACGAAAGUUAGGGAUCGAAGACGACCAGAUACCGUCGUAGUCUUA